rnacentral:tRNA from 1 species
GGUAAGGUGGCCGAGUAGGUGGUGGGUUGUAGCCCCAUGUACAGGGGUUUAGUCCUCUCUUUAUCA